GCUGACCACAUCUUGAUGCCACAAGACAAUAUAUGUUCGCUCUCACGUUGUUAACAAGCAGCAGUUCAGAGAGAAGAACGUGAACCGAGAGAAUUCCUCACAUUUCUCCCAGGCUAAUAAUUAAUGUAAUUUGGUAUAAACCAAACAUAGCCAUUGUAACUAAAGUGGAAGGUUAUGUGUUGAGUCAGUUAAGAAUGGCCUCAGAAAUAGCAGACCCCACAUGGGUAACCUAAUAACAGACAUCUAAUCAUUGCUCAUUUACCAGAUAAUCAGAGCGUGUGUGUGUGUGUGUGUGUGCGUGUGUGUGUGUUGGGAGGGCAACGAGCCGAUGAGACAGAAGCACAGGAUAGCUAGCUUCUUAUUAAACUAAUUUGAGAGAGAGCGAGAGAGUGAAGACUAUUCUUUCCCUUUUGUAAAGGUUCUUUGUUUCCUGGAGCGGUUCGCGUAGGAGAGUUACCCUUUUGUAAUUAUGGCAACACAAAUCGUGCUCGGUUCCCACAUCGUCCUACACCAGAUCCAGGUCCGCUCAGUCUAUAGCUGCAGUGAAUGUGCAUCCACAUACACAGAAGGCCGGAGUGGACAGCAGUCACUGAUGGUGACUCAGACAUUAUUAUGCAAGGCAACACUUUUCAGAUUGUUUUCACCAGUUUUAUGUUUACCAAGGCACUAAAUUAUCAGCCCGCAUAUCAAGUUCGAUUUUGGUGCUGACACAUGCUGAUCAUCAGCAUUUCUUUUAACUGAUGUAUGUUUGGCCAUUUGCUUGUGCUGAGAAACAGCAAAGUGGAAACAGGUUCUUCACACUGUUUCUAAUGACAACAGUACAGGGAGCUUCAGACUUGCACCAUUAUGGAAACACAAAUGGGAGCAUUGUUACGACCAAAGCAAGCUCAUGACGCGCCGUGAGUCAAAAAGACAUCUAGAAAGUCCAAGGACACAAAUGGACCAUCAGAGCAGUCACAGCACUUCCCGUUUGUCAAUCUGAUGCGAGGGAGCGAGCUGCACAGUCCUCGACAAUCGCCUGUAGGAUGACUCCAUGAGUGCCUGGUACUUUCCAGCUCUCCACCUGCUCAUCUCUUUGUGCACUGCACAGUCUCUUAAGGGGCCCGUGUGGUCGGACUUGUUCUGCCUGUUCUCCCGCAGACAAAAGGCCUGCAUGUGGAUCCGCUUUGGAGGCGGACAGUCCAGCGCCAACAUUGACACACAUGGUGUCAUUGGGG